GUCGAGAAUAAUUCACAAUGGGGGAAACCCUGAUGGUGCAACGCCGCGUGGAGGAUGAAGGUCUUCGGAUUGUAAACUCCUGUCAUCUGGGAGUAAGACCUGACGGUGAAUAGCCGGCAGGGUUGAUAGUACCAGAAGAGGAAGGGACGGCUAACUUCGUGCCAGCAGCCGCGGUAAUACGAAGGUCCCAAGCGUUGUUCGGAAUCACUGGGCGUAAAGGGAGCGUAGGCGGCGUGGUAAGUCAGAUGUGAAAUCCCGGGGCUCAACCCCGGAACUGCAUCCGAUACUGCCAUGCUUGAGGGUUGGAGAGGUAGCUGGAAUUCUCGGUGUAGCAGUGAAAUGCGUGGAUAUCGAGAGGAACACUCGUGGCGAAGGCGAGCUACUUGACAACAUCUGACGCUGAGGCUCGAAGGCCAGGGGAGCAAAAGGGAUUAGAUACCCUAGUAGUCC
rnacentral:rRNA from 1 species